GACGAACGCUGGCGGCGUGCUUAACACAUGCAAGUCGAACGGAAAGGCCCUGCUUUUGUGGGGUGCUCGAGUGGCGAACGGGUGAGUAACACGUGAGUAACCUGCCCUUGACUUUGGGAUAACUUCAGGAAACUGGGGCUAAUACCUGAUAUGAGCUCCUGCUGCAUGGUGGGGGUUGGAAAGUUUAGGCGGUUGGGGAUGGACUCGCGGCUUAUCAGCUUGUUGGUGGGGUAGUGGUUUACCAAGGCUUUGACGGGUAGCCGGGCUGAGCGGGUGACCGGCCACAUUGGGACUGAAAUACGGCCCGGACCACUACGGGAGGCAGCAGUGGGGAAUAUUGCACAAUGGGCGGAAGCCUGAUGCAGUCACGCCGCGUGCGGGAUGACGGCAUUCGGGUUGUAAACCGCUUUCGCCUGUGACGAAGAGUGAGUGACGGUAAUGGGUAAAGAAGCACCGGCUAACUACGUG
rnacentral:rRNA from 1 species